rnacentral:rRNA from 1 species
GAGUUAUCUGAACCUUCGGGGGACGAUAACGGCGUCGAGCGGCGGACGGGUGAGUAAUGCCUAGGAAAUUGCCCUGAUGUGGGGGAUAACCAUUGGAAACGAUGGCUAAUACCGCAUGAUGCCUACGGGCCAAAGAGGGGGACCUUCGGGCCUCUCGCGUCAGGAUAUGCCUAGGUGGGAUUAGCUAGUUGGUGAGGUAAGGGCUCACCAAGGCGACGAUCCCUAGCUGGUCUGAGAGGAUGAUCAGCCACACUGGAACUGAGACACGGUCCAGACUCCUACGGGAGGCAGCAGUGGGGAAUAUUGCACAAUGGGCGCAAGCCUGAUGCAGCCAUGCCGCGUGUGUGAAGAAGGCCUUCGGGUUGUAAAGCACUUUCAGUCGUGAGGAAGGUGGUGUAGUUAAUAGCUGCAUUAUUUGACGUUAGCGACAGAAGAAGCACCGGCUAACUCCGUGCCAGCAGCCGCGGUAAUACGGAGGGUGCGAGCGUUAAUCGGAAUUACUGGGCGUAAAGCGCAUGCAGGUGGUUUGUUAAGUCAGAUGUGAAAGCCCGGGGCUCAACCUCGGAAUUGCAUUUGAAACUGGCAGACUAGAGUACUGUAGAGGGGGGUAGAAUUUCAGGUGUAGCGGUGAAAUGCGUAGAGAUCUGAAGGAAUACCGGUGGCGAAGGCGGCCCCCUGGACAGAUACUGACACUCAGAUGCGAAAGCGUGGGGAGCAAACAGGAUUAGAUACCCUGGUAGUCCACGCCGUAAACGAUGUCUACUUGGAGGUUGUGGCCUUGAGCCGUGGCUUUCGGAGCUAACGCGUUAAGUAGACCGCCUGGGGAGUACGGUCGCAAGAUUAAAACUCAAAUGAAUUGACGGGGGCCCGCACAAGCGGUGGAGCAUGUGGUUUAAUUCGAUGCAACGCGAAGAACCUUACCUACUCUUGACAUCCAGAGAACUUUCCAGAGAUGGAUUGGUGCCUUCGGGAACUCUGAGACAGGUGCUGCAUGGCUGUCGUCAGCUCGUGUUGUGAAAUGUUGGGUUAAGUCCCGCAACGAGCGCAACCCUUAUCCUUGUUUGCCAGCGAGUAAUGUCGGGAACUCCAGGGAGACUGCCGGUGAUAAACCGGAGGAAGGUGGGGACGACGUCAAGUCAUCAUGGCCCUUACGAGUAGGGCUACACACGUGCUACAAUGGCGCAUACAGAGGGCAGCCAACUUGCGAAAGUGAGCGAAUCCCAAAAAGUGCGUCGUAGUCCGGAUUGGAGUCUGCAACUCGACUCCAUGAAGUCGGAAUCGCUAGUAAUC